UUCCUCAAUAAUAUUAGUCCACCAUAUCUUUAAAUUGAUUCGUCUCCCCUCUAAAUCGAUUCAUUUCCUACAUCGACUGACGACGAUCCUGUUCAAUGUCUUCACAAACCCUUCGUCUCCACCUACGCUCAUAAUUCCAUCUAGAAGCUAUCGAUAAAGAACCAAAUCUUAGGGGCUGAUUGUGUCCAUCAGUGAGAGGCACAGAACCGGAAUGAAAUCGAGAAGGAGAUACUGAGAGGAGAAGAAGGGAAACAUGAUGAAGGCAACAGGAAAUCGAACCGUACCCACAAUGAUGUUCACGCACUCCAUUAUAAACAGCGACUAAGAAAUUCUUCGAUUCCUUUUUUCCUGGCUUCAAUCGAUCGCAUGUUCCCAGGGCUCUCCAACACACCGUUUCCUUUGACAUGUUCUGAUUUAUCUUUUCUGUUUUUGUGUUCUCUAUUGUUGUACCUAAUUACAAGAUUACAGAAGGGCCUUUAAUCCUCUUUCACUUCCGUCGCAUGUCGCCUACACCACCAAAGCUACGUCUGUUUUUUUUAUGCGGUGGCGUCUCCGAUGCCGGUGAUAGCGACGUCUGAGAAUCUGGAAUUUUUUUUCUUGAUGGAUUCUUAUUGAAGACUCAAUUUCCCGUUUCUUUAUCUUCUUCGUAUGCCGAGUAUCUACUUUAUUCAGAAAAAGAAUCUGUUGGUCGCCGAUAUCUUUUAACAAAAACCAAAGAACAAAUAUAUUCCAAAACCCAGGAGCCACAACAAGAGUAGCCCAAAGGAAAGAAGUGGUAAUUUCUGAAUUUAAGUUCAAGUCUUGAAUGAAGAAUAUGACAUUAAUGAAUGAAUUUUGGUUUAAAAAAAGAAUGUUUGGAAAAUGUUUAUAACCUAUAAAGAAUUAAGUGAAAGGCCAAAUUACUUCAUUUUGAUAGCUUUGAAUUUCUAUCAAAGUCAAAACAAAGAAUGCAAAAUCAAAAUUAUUUUGAAUGCUGUCAAUGCAUGUUGGAAUUGAGUUCCGAUUCAUAAAGUACUAUUGGUAAUAAAUUAGAAACAUAAAAUAAUCAAGCAAUUUGAGCUUUUGAGCUUAGCGUCAACGAUAAUAAGUUGGUAAAUGGUACAAAUUUGACUUUUGUAAAAGCCAUGCUUAAUACAGUUGGUAAAGGGUACAAAUUUGGCUUUUGUAAAAGCCAUGCUUAAUACAAGAAAUUAGAAGUUUCAUGUUUAUGAUUAAAAAAGUAAUCGAACUUGGAACAAAUCUAUGUAUUACAUGAUAAAUGCUAAGUUUAAAUCACAUGUAUGUUGGUUAAAACGGACUGAAAUUAAAUUGAUGAUUUGAGGAAUCCGAUGCAUUAACAUUAUUAAUUAUGUUCUACACAGGCAAAUAAAAUUUUGAUUUUGAUUAUGAUCAGAAUAAAGAAAAGUAGAAACUUAUCUAAUUUUUAAUAUUUAAUAUAUUAAUAAUUAAUAAAAAAAUUGUAUAUAAUAUAUGCAGCGCGGUGUAGUUAUUUUGUGGUUUUUGAAAAUUAUUAACCACACCACACCGCAAAUUUGCGGUUUUCGAAAAACAGAAAAUCUUACUAUCGGUUUUUAUUGUGGUUGCGGUUAAUUUUAGUUGCGGUGCGGUUUUUACUCAUCCUUAGUUUUCAAAGAUGCUUUGAAUAAUUAUGUCGAAAUUUGACCUUUAAGGAAUAUUGCAACUUUUUUGGAAAUUUUUUUAGGAUAUAAGUAUCUACAUUGCUGAUUGACAUUGUUGCAACUUAAUGAUGUGAUUGAUUAUGGUUGAAUAUUUAUAUUUUGUUGAUGUUGAAGCAUUUUGUUAAAAAUUAAAGUCAAGAUCAGAGAUGACAAUGAGGCCGGGGAAUACCGGGACCUCAAUCCUCAUCCCCGAAUCAUCAUUCCAAUAUUCAUCCUCAUCCCCAUUCAGAAAUAUAAAUGAAUCUCCUAACACACCCCCAACGGGGGCCGGGGAUCUCUAGCUGGAAAGCAGUGAUUUCUUUUUCUAUUUUAACAUGAAAACCUUUACGUAAAAAAAAACUUUAAAUUUCAAUUUUAACAACAUAAGUUUAAAAAUUUACAAAGCAUAAAAAUAUCCAUAGAUCACAUAAAAACUAUAAAUAAAUUUUCUAUCAAAUUUAAAUGCAUACACGAAAAAUCAAGUAGAAAAAAAAAAUAUCAGAGUGAUAUUUGAGGUAACAAAUAAAUUAAUCAAAGAGAAAAAAAAUAUACACGAAGUUAAUUAGAUAAACAAAUAAGGAAAAUUAUAAUUUCAACUAAGUAAUUAGUAAUGAGUCGGACUAUUUUGGUUAAAUUUUAGGUAUUGUAAGUUUUACUAUAAACAUAUUCUUUGUAUUAAGUUACAUAUUAGUAUUUAUCAGCAUGUCCGGUCCUAAUGUUUUUUGUGCCUUGGGCGAAACGACAUAAUAAUUAGGGAUGACAA